AAACACUACAGGACCUUUACAAAAAGCCAAAGCCAAAUAAAUUUGCAGUUACCCAGCUCCUUGAUCAUGAAUUUAAUGCACAGAGGUAAUUUAUAGAUUAUAUGGGAGGCUUACCCAUGCUUUAAAGAACUGGAUCAUGUAAUGGAUGAAAUGCAUUGUAUUCUUAGUUGGAAUAAUCUUAACUACAUCAUAGAAGUUAAGAGCAGAUGGACCAGUUUUUAUGGAAAAGCACAGCUGUAUGGAGUAAUGAAGAAGAUCCUGAAGCCUCCACAUAUGCACGAUGAUGUGAAAAAUGCCAUCGCCAUGUUUAGAGCUCUGCCAUCCAUGUUUCCUUCACUUUCUCUAUCCCCCAAAAAGCUGGGAAACAAAACAUGAGGCAUUAGUUCAUGGCCUUAAGGUAAAACUUUGCAUUUUUACAUUGUUUAAAGGAAAAAUAAAGACAGUUACUGAAAUUCUAUCCAUCUUUGACUGGCAGCAAUUUUCAGGGUUGUUUUUAAUGUUAGCUACAGGAACAACACUGUACAUUAAACGGUUUGAUUAAAAGGGCUCAACAGAAUAUAACAAUCUUCAAUUUUUAGUGAUUUCUUUGCUAUUUCAAUUACAAGCUGUGUAUAACUGCUUCUGUUAAAAUUAGCACAUUAAUUCAGUAUUAUAAAUAAGUAAAUGUAUAAUAAAUCUGUAUAGGACUACAGAGAAUAAAAUAAAUUCAGCCUAUUUUCUUUGUUGGUUUUUGUUUGUCUUGAAGACCUCCGAGAAUCCUGAUGCCUUUCUACAGCAAAGACUGACCACUGUCUAGCCCUGCCCUUAUUGUGGACCAAGAUAACUGCAUGCUAGCUAUUGGAAGUGAGCCUGUGACAACUUUCCCUCAAGAAAUGUUGCAGGAAGGUAUCAUGUACCUUAUGGCAUACUAUUAUGCACUACAUCUAACAUAUCCUAAGUGCAUUGCCACUGUCCUCUCUGUAAUUCAAACUGAAAUAUUACUGGACACAGUUUGAAGGGAAAAUACAAAUACAGUAUGCUAGAAGAAAAAUUGUGUGAGCCAAACGUAGAA